AUAGGGUACGAGCGAACGUGGCGAACUGAAACAUCUAAGUAGCUACAGGAAAAGAAAUCAACCGAGAUUCCCAAAGUAGUGGCGAGCGAAAUGGGAUCAGCCUGCAAGAUUUAGCAUCAACGAUAGUAGAACGGAAUGGAAAGUCCGGCCAUAGUGGGUGAUAGCCCCGUAUGCGAAAUCGAUGGUGUGGAACUAGGCUUGCGACAAGUAGGGCGGGACACGUGAAAUCCUGUCUGAAGAUGGGGGGACCAUCCUCCAAGGCUAAAUACUCGUAAUCGACCGAUAGUGAACCAGUACCGUGAGGGAAAGGCGAAAAGAACCCCGGAAGGGGAGUGAAAUAGAUCCUGAAACCGUGUGCAUACAAACAGUAGGAGCCCUGUAAGGGGUGACUGCGUACCUUUUGUAUAAUGGGUCAGCGACUUACAUUCAGUGGCAAGCUUAACCGAAUAGGGAAGGCGUAGAGAAAUCGAGUCCGAAUAGGGCGUUCAGUCGCUGGGUGUAGACCCGAAACCAGAUGAUCUAUCCAUGGCCAGGUUGAAGGUGCGGUAACACGCACUGGAGGACCGAACCCACUAAUGUUGAAAAAUUAGGGGAUGAGCUGUGGAUAGGGGUGAAAGGCUAAACAAAUCUGGAAAUAGCUGGUUCUCUCCGAAAACUAUUUAGGUAGUGCCUCAAGUAUCACCAUCGGGGGUAGAGCACUGUUAUGGCUAGGGGGUCAUCGCGACUUACCAAACCAUUGCAAACUCCGAAUACCGAUGAGUGCGAGCUUGGGAGACAGACGCCGGGUGCUAACGUCCGACGUCAAGAGGGAAACAACCCAGACCGCCAGCUAAGGUCCCAAAGAUUGGCUAAGUGGAAAACGAAGUGGGAAGGCUAAAACAGUCAGGAGGUUGGCUUAGAAGCAGCCAUCCUUUAAAGAAAGCGUAAUAGCUCACUGAUCGAGUCGUCCUGCGCGGAAGAUGUAACGGGGCUAAGCCAGUCACCGAAGCUGCGGAUAUCCGUAAGGAUAUGGUAGGAGAGCGUUCUGUAAGCCUGUGAAGGUGUCUUGUAAAGGAUGCUGGAGGUAUCAGAAGUGCGAAUGCUGACAUGAGUAGCGAUAAUGCGGGUGAAAAGCCCGCACGCCGUAAGCCCAAGGUUUCCUGUUCAACGUUCAUCGGAGCAGGGUGAGUCGGCCCCUAAGGCGAGGCAGAGAUGCGUAGCUGAUGGGAAGCAGGUUAAUAUUCCUGCACCGUCGUUAGAUGCGAUGGGGGGACGGAUCGCGGAAGGUUGUCCGACUGUUGGAAUAGUCGGUUUUUGCAUCGAAGAAGGCUGUUAGGCAAAUCCGGCAGCGUAAUUCAAGGGUGUGAGACGAGCGAACUUGUUCGCGAAGCAAUCGGAAGUGGUUCCAAGAAAAGCCUCUAAGCUUCAGUCUAACGAGACCGUACCGCAAACCGACACAGGUGGGCGAGAUGAGUAUUCUAAGGCGCUUGAGAGAACUCGGGAGAAGGAACUCGGCAAAUUGGUACCGUAACUUCGGGAUAAGGUACGCCCAAGUAGUUUGACUGGCCUGCGCCAGAAGGACAAAAGGGUUGCAAUAAAAUGGUGGCUGCGACUGUUUAAUAAAACACAGCACUCUGCAAACACGAAAGUGGACGUAUAGGGUGUGACGCCUGCCCGGUGCUGGAAGAUUAAAUGAUGGGGUGCAAGCUCUUGAUUGAAGUCCCAGUAAACGGCGGCCGUAACUAUAACGGUCCUAAGGUAGCGAAAUUCCUUGUCGGGUAAGUUCCGACCUGCACGAAUGGCGUAACGAUGGCCACACUGUCUCCUCCCGAGACUCAGCGAAGUUGAAAUGUUUGUGAUGAUGCAAUCUACCCGCGGCUAGACGGAAAGACCCCAUGAACCUUUACUGUAGCUUUGCAUUGGACUUUGAACCAAUCUGUGUAGGAUAGGUGGGAGGCUUUGAAGCAGGAACGCUAGUUUCUGUGGAGCCGACCUUGAAAUACCACCCUGGUUCGUUUGAGGUUCUAACCUUGGUCCGUUAUCCGGAUCGGGGACAGUGCAUGGUAGGCAGUUUGACUGGGGCGGUCUCCUCCCAAAGUGUAACGGAGGAGUUCGAAGGUACGCUAGGUACGGUCGGACAUCGUGCUAAUAGUGCAAUGGCAUAAGCGUGCUUAACUGCGAGACUGACAAGUCGAGCAGGUACGAAAGUAGGACAUAGUGAUCCGGUGGUUCUGUAUGGAAGGGCCAUCGCUCAACGGAUAAAAGGUACUCUGGGGAUAACAGGCUGAUUCCUCCCAAGAGUUCAUAUCGACGGGGGAGUUUGGCACCUCGAUGUCGGCUCAUCACAUCCUGGGGCUGUAGCCGGUCCCAAGGGUAUGGCUGUUCGCCAUUUAAAGUGGUACGUGAGCUGGGUUUAAAACGUCGUGAGACAGUUUGGUCCCUAUCUGCCGUGGGCGU
rnacentral:rRNA from 1 species